AACACUGUUAACCUGCGGUACCUGCGGAAGGAUCAUUACAGAGUUAUCCAACUCCCAAACCCAUGUGAACUUAUCUCUUUGUUGCCUCGGCGCAAGCUACCCGGGACCCAGCGCCCCGGGCGGCCCGCCGGCGGACAAACCAAAACUCUUGUUAUCUUAGUUGAUUAUCUGAGCGUCUUAUUUAAUAAGUCAAAACUUUCAACAACGGAUCU
rnacentral:misc_RNA from 1 species